UACGUAGGGACCAAGCGUUUGUUCGGAUUUACUGGGCGUAAAGGGCGCGUAGGCGGCGUGUUAAGUCACUUGUGAAAUCUCUAAGCUUAACUUAGAACGGUCAAGUGAUACUGAUGUGCUAGAGUGCAGAAGGGGCAACCGGAAUUCUUGGUGUAGCGGUGAAAUGCGUAGAUAUCAAGAGGAACACCUGAGGUGAAGACGGGUUGCUGGGCUGACACUGACGCUGAGGCGCGAAAGCUAGGGUAGCAAACGGG
rnacentral:rRNA from 1 species